rnacentral:lncRNA from 1 species
GGCUUACCAUCAUUAUUUCCACAUAAAGCUUCACAUUUCAAUCUCUCUCACAAAAUUCUGAUACAAUAAUGGCUUCAGUGAGUGUUUUUUUUGUGCUAAUGAUUAUUAUAUCUUUCAUGGCAUCACCUUUACAUUCAUCAUAUUCACAAACACUUCCUCAAAUUCCUACAACUCUAUCAACUUCACCUGAAACACUGAAAGAUCCUUUCCAAGAAUUAUCACCAGACAUUGCUCCACUUUUUCCUUCUUCUCCUGAUAGUGUGUUACCAACUCCUGGUGGCUCAGAAAUUCCAACUAUUCCUUCUAAUCCAAGUUCAAAUCCAGAUGAUAUUGUUGCACCAGGACCACUUUCUGCAUUUUCACCAUUUGGAUCAAUGUCUUCUAAUGCUCCUACAACUAGAGUUUGUAACCAAGCCAUAGCUGCUAUUGCAGGUUUUGUAGCAUACUGGUAUAUGCAGUAUCUUAAAGUUUGAGUCUUUUUUCUCUUUAUUGCAUGAUUACUUUUUCAUCACCAUCUUGUAGUAUAUUAUUAUAAAAAUAUUCAACAAAUUUGACGACUGUGAUUAAGG